CCAUGUCUUUUGCGCACUUCUUGUUUCCUGGGCGGGUUCGCCCGCCACCAGGACCCAACCAUAAACCUUUUUUUGUAAUUGCAAUCAGCGUCAGUACACAAUGUAAUUAUUACAACUUUCAACAACGGAUCUCUUGGUUCUGGCAUCGAUGAAGAACGCA
rnacentral:rRNA from 1 species